rnacentral:rRNA from 1 species
CCUACGGGUGGCAGCAGUGAGGAAUAUUGGUCAAUGGGCGCUAGCCUGAACCAGCCAAGUAGCGUGAAGGAUGACUGCCCUAUGGGUUGUAAACUUCUUUUAUAUGGGAAUAAAAUGAAGUAUGUAUACUGCUUUGCAUGUACCUUAUGAAUAAGGAUCGGCUAACUCCGUGCCAGCAGCCGCGGUAAUACGGAGGAUCCGAGCGUUAUCCGGAUUUAUUGGGUUUAAAGGGCGUGUAGCCGGGUUGACAAGUCAGAUGUGAAAGCGUGCGGCUUAACCGCAAAAUUGCAUUUGAAACUGGUAGUCGUGAGUACUGGAGAGGGAGACGGAAUUCGUGGUGUAGCGGUGAAAUGCGUAGAUAUUACGAAGAACACCAGUGGCGAAGGCAGUUUGCUGGACAGCAACUGACGGUGAGGCGCGAAAGCGUGGGGAGCAAACAGGAUUAGAUACCCCUGUAGUC